UAUAGGCAAAGGGAUCGAAUCUUCAAGCGGACAAGCCGGAGCGAAUACGCGCUUGAAGGGAACACACUAAAGGUGAUGUUAGUGAUAUUCCGGAUGGUGAUCAAGCAAAUAACAAGAACCGAACACAAGACUUUUGAAGCUUCCGCAAUGAUAUCUUUUGUUUAGUUUUAGUGUAAAACAUGUAAUCACUUGAAUGUUUUAAACUAGUAUGGGUGAUGAAACUUGAACAACUUAAUUAUGUAUGAUCGUUAACUUGUCAAAGUUUUUGAAAGGUCGUAUUUUUACAUAUAAAAUACGUAUUUUGCAUAAAAAAUUUUAAUGUGAGACGGGUCUUACAGUUUGGCA